AGAACAGGUCGGGCGGUCGCUGCCGGAUGGUUUUUGCUCUGGCGAUAGAGUUUAAAACUGACGGGAGAGGAAAGUCCGAACACCACAGGGCAGCGAGCCCGCUAACGGCGGGGCAUUCGUAAAUCUCAUAUUUGAGAUUUCGGAUGACGACAAGUGCAACAGAGAAAAGACCAGCCAGUAGCCGAGUGCGAAUUUGAGAUCUCGGCAUAGAGAUCUGAAAUCGCAUGAGGUAUUACUGGUGAUGGGUGAAACGGUGCGGCCCUUCGGGGCUUAAUGUAAGAGCGCACCGGCGUGCGUGGUGACACGCACGGCCAGGCAAACUCCUCGCGGUGCAAGACCAAAUAGGGAGGCGUCAAAGGGCAGCCCGCCCAAAGCGGUCUCAACUGUAGUUGAGACGGCUACGACCUCCGGGUAGGUCGCUCGAUCCAAUCGGCAACGGUUGGGCUAGAUGAAUGAUCGCCACUCCGGCCACGCCGGAGUACAGAAUUCGGCUUACAGACCUGUUCUACUG
rnacentral:RNase_P_RNA from 1 species